rnacentral:rRNA from 1 species
UGGGAGAUCUUGCGCAAUGGCCGAAAGGCUGACGCAGCGACGCCGCGUGUGGGAGGAAGCUCUUCGGGGUGUAAACCACUGUUGCCCGGGCAGCGAACGAUGAGCAUUGGCUCAUGUGACGGUACCGGGUGAGGAAGCACCGGCUAACUCUGUGCCAGCAGCCGCGGUAAUACAGAGGGUGCGAGCGUUGUCCGGAAUCACUGGGCGUAAAGGGCGCGUAGGCGGCUCGGUAAGCGUGCGGUGAAAGCCCGGGCUGCAACCCGCGUCGGCCGUGCGAACUGCAGAGCUGGAGCACUGUAGAGGCAGGUGGAAUUCCGGGUGUAGCGGUGGAAUGCGUAGAGAUCCGGAAGAACACCGGUGGCGAAGGCGGCCUGCUGGGCAGUAGCUGACGCUGAUGCGCGACAGCGUGGGGGGAGCAAACAGGGAUUAGAUACCC